rnacentral:tRNA from 1 species
AUCUAAGUAGCUUAUUUAUAGAGCAUAAUAUUGAAAAUAUUAAGGUAAUAUUUAUAUUUUUAGGUA